CACAGUUGCAUGCAAAUGGCAUUUCACGCACUGUUACAGAUUAACCGUUCAAGAGAAGCCAUACAGUCAUCACUGCCCAUGACCAUCCGAAUGGCAAAAACGGCCUUUUGCAACCCGGAUACGUCCACCCUAUCUCUUCACCUGCCUUGUUCCUAGUCAUCUCUUCACAUCAAUACAGCAUGUGCACAAACUCACCCUAAGCUGUCCUGUUGCUGGCCGGAUUUGACCUCCCGACGCAGUAUGAAAGCCUGCAAGAGCAGGUCGGCGAUGGAGCUUGAUUUCUUACGUGGUACUGACUACCAAUAUCCUCGUCUUCGCAGCGACCACUGGCUAGUGGUGCAGCAGUGAAACUCAAAACUGUUCCUGUGCCGCCUACCUCCCACAAUCAAGCAACGCUGGCUAAUAUCGCCGCCUCUCCUGCGUGGGCAAUCGAUAAGACCAUCAUUCAGACACAUCCUCAACACGGCGUGCGGCGCAGCUCCACAGAGUUGCGGUCUUCUGUCAAACCUUUGCAGGUGGCCUAGAUUGACACGGAACGCACCGCAUGGCAAGCACCCGCAAUAAUACCCAUACUUUACAGACGCGCCAUGGCUGCGCGGCACAGGCCGAACGCUUCGCCCAAAAUGCCACGACCGCCCUCACGCGCGCAAUCGUGGCAUGAAUGCAUGCCGCACCGCAAAGACUCACCAGCGCAGGGCGCGAGUGGGGCACCGCGACUGCUGCAGAGUCUGGCAAGGCCGCUGCCUCUUCACGCCGACAUGCGGUUAGAAACCAAUCUGUCCAUACUUACCUCAUAGUAGCCGUCACGUGGCCGGUCGCGGUAGCUACCGCCGCUCCCGUAUGAUCCUGACCUGUAACCGUCGUCGCCACGCCGGUCGUAGUCACGCCGGUCAUCAUAGCCCCGCCCCCGCCCACCAUCCUCGUAGCCCUUGCCGCGGUAGUCGUCGUGCCCCCGGCCGCGAUAGUCGUCAUAGCCCCGCCCGCGGGAAUCUUCGAAACCCCGGCUCUGGCUGUCGUGCCCCCGGUUAUCACGC
rnacentral:lncRNA from 1 species